GAUGAACGCUGGCGGCGUGCCUAAUACAUGCAAGUCGAGCGAACGGACGAGAAACUUGCUUCUCUGAUGUUAGCGGCGGACGGGUGAGUAACACGUGGAUAACCUACCUAUAAGACUGGGAUAACUUCGGGAAACCGGAGUUAAUACCGGAUGAUAUUUUGAACCGCAUGGUUCAAAAGUGAAAGACGGUCUUGCUGUCACUUAUAGAUGGAUCCGCGCUGCAUUAGCUAGUUGGUAAGGUAACGGCUUACCAAGGCAACGAUGCAUAGCCGACCUGAGAGGGUGAUCGGCCACACUGGAACUGAGACACGGUCCAGACUCCUACGGGAGGCAGCAGUAGGGAAUCUUCCGCAAUGGGCGAAAGCCUGACGGAGCAACGCCGCGUGAGUGAUGAAGGUCUUCGGAUCGUAAAACUCUGUUAUUAGGGAAGAACAUAUGUGUAAGUAACUGUGCACAUCUUGACGGGACCUAAUCAGAAAGCCACGGCUAACUACGU
rnacentral:rRNA from 1 species